UACGUAGGUGGCAAGCGUUGUCCGGAAUUACUGGGUGUAAAGGGAGCGUAGGCGGGAAGGCAAGUUGAAUGUUUAAACUAUGGGCUCAACCCAUAAUCGCGUUCAAAACUGCUUUUCUUGAGUGAAGUAGAGGUAAGCGGAAUUCCUAGUGUAGCGGUGAAAUGCGUAAAUAUUAGGAGGAACACCAGUGGCGAAGGCGGCUUACUGGGCUUUAACUGACGCUGAGGCUCGAAAGCGUGGGUAGCAAACAGG
rnacentral:rRNA from 1 species